rnacentral:rRNA from 1 species
GAUGAACGCUGGCGGCGUGCUUAACACAUGCAAGUCGAACGGGAUCCAAGGGGUUCUUGCACUUUUUGGUGAGAGUGGCGAACGGGUGAGUAACACGUGAGUAACCUGUCCUUUUCUUUGGGAUAAGCAUUCGAAAGGGUGUUUAAUACCUUAUGUUCUGUCUGCCUCGCAUGGGGUGGGUGGGAAAGGCUUUGGCCGGAUUUGGGUGGGCUCGCGGUCUAUCAGCUUGUUGGUGGGGUGAUGGCUUACCAAGGCUUUGACGGGUAGCCGGCCUGAGAGGGUGGUCGGUCAGAUUGGGACUGAGAUACGGCCCAGACUGCUGCGGGAGGCAGCAGUGGGGGAUAUUGCACAAUGGGCGAAAGCCUGAUGCAGCGACGCCGCGUGGGGGAUGAAGGCCUGCGGGUUGUAAACUUCUGUUGCUCUGAACAAGGCAUGCCAGUGGGUGUGUUGAGUGUAGGGGUUGAUUAGCGCCGGCUAACUACGUG